AGUGAACGCUGGCGGUAGGCCUAACACAUGCAAGUCGAACGGCAGCACAGUAAGAGCUUGCUCUUACGGGUGGCGAGUGGCGGACGGGUGAGGAAUACAUCGGAAUCUACUUUUUCGUGGGGGAUAACGUAGGGAAACUUACGCUAAUACCGCAUACGACCUACGGGUGAAAGCAGGGGAUCUUCGGACCUUGCGCGAUUGAAUGAGCCGACGUCGGAUUAGCUAGUUGGCGGGGUAAAGGCCCACCAAGGCGACGAUCCGUAGCUGGUCUGAGAGGAUGAUCAGCCACACUGGAACUGAGACACGGUCCAGACUCCUACGGGAGGCAGCAGUGGGGAAUAUUGGACAAUGGGCGCAAGCCUGAUCCAGCCAUACUGCGUGGGUGAAGAAGGCCUUCGGGUUGUAAAGCCCUUUUGUUGGGAAAGAAAAGCAGCAGGUUAAUACCCCGCUGUUCUGACGGUACCCAAAGAAUAAGCACCGGCUAACUUCGUG
rnacentral:rRNA from 1 species